rnacentral:rRNA from 1 species
AGCCCAAACCAACAAGCUUGCUUGUUGGGGUUGUAGGACACUCUAUACGGAGUUACAAAGGACGACAUUAGACGAAUCAUCUGGAAAGAUGAAUCAAAGAAGGUAAUAAUCCUGUAGUCGAAAAUGUUGUCUCUCUUGAGUGGAUCCUGAGUACGACGGAGCACGUGAAAUUCCGUCGGAAUCUGGGAGGACCAUCUCCUAAGGCUAAAUACUCUCUAGUGACCGAUAGUGAACCAGUACCGUGAGGGAAAGGUGAAAAGCACCCCGGAAGGGGAGUGAAAUAGAACCUGAAACCGUGUGCUUACAAGUAGUCAGAGCCCGUUAAUGGGUGAUGGCGUGCCUUUUGUAGAAUGAACCGGCGAGUUACGAUUUGAUGCAAGGUUAAGCAGUAAAUGUGGAGCCGUAGCGAAAGCGAGUCUGAAUAGGGCGUUUAGUAUUUGGUCGUAGACCCGAAACCAGGUGAUCUACCCUUGGUCAGGUUGAAGUUCAGGUAACACUGAAUGGAGGACCGAACCGACUUACGUUGAAAAGUGAGCGGAUGAACUGAGGGUAGCGGAGAAAUUCCAAUCGAACCUGGAGAUAGCUGGUUCUCUCCGAAAUAGCUUUAGGGCUAGCCUCAAGUGAUGAUUAUUGGAGGUAGAGCACUGUUUGGACGAGGGGCCCCUCUCGGGUUACCGAAUUCAGACAAACUCCGAAUGCCAAUUAAUUUAACUUGGGAGUCAGAACAUGGGUGAUAAGGUCCGUGUUCGAAAGGGAAACAGCCCAGACCACCAGCUAAGGUCCCAAAAUAUAUGUUAAGUGGAAAAGGAUGUGGCGUUGCCCAGACAACUAGGAUGUUGGCUUAGAAGCAGCCAUCAUUUAAAGAGUGCGUAAUAGCUCACUAGUCGAGUGACACUGCGCCGAAAAUGUACCGGGGCUAAACAUAUUACCGAAGCUGUGGAUUGUCCUUUGGACAAUGGUAGGAGAGCGUUCUAAGGGCGUUGAAGCAUGAUCGUAAGGACAUGUGGAGCGCUUAGAAGUGAGAAUGCCGGUGUGAGUAGCGAAAGACGGGUGAGAAUCCCGUCCACCGAUUGACUAAGGUUUCCAGAGGAAGGCUCGUCCGCUCUGGGUUAGUCGGGUCCUAAGCUGAGGCCGACAGGCGUAGGCGAUGGAUAACAGGUUGAUAUUCCUGUACCACCUAUAAUCGUUUUAAUCGAUGGGGGGACGCAGUAGGAUAGGCGAAGCGUGCGAUUGGAUUGCACGUCUAAGCAGUAAGGCUGAGUAUUAGGCAAAUCCGGUACUCGUUAAGGCUGAGCUGUGAUGGGGAGAAGACAUUGUGUCUUCGAGUCGUUGAUUUCACACUGCCGAGAAAAGCCUCUAGAUAGAAAAUAGGUGCCCGUACCGCAAACCGACACAGGUAGUCAAGAUGAGAAUUCUAAGGUGAGCGAGCGAACUCUCGUUAAGGAACUCGGCAAAAUGACCCCGUAACUUCGGGAGAAGGGGUGCUCUUUAGGGUUAACGCCCAGAAGAGCCGCAGUGAAUAGGCCCAAGCGACUGUUUAUCAAAAACACAGGUCUCUGCUAAACCGUAAGGUGAUGUAUAGGGGCUGACGCCUGCCCGGUGCUGGAAGGUUAAGAGGAGUGGUUAGCUUCUGCGAAGCUACGAAUCGAAGCCCCAGUAAACGGCGGCCGUAACUAUAACGGUCCUAAGGUAGCGAAAUUCCUUGUCGGGUAAGUUCCGACCCGCACGAAAGGCGUAACGAUUUGGGCACUGUCUCAACGAGAGACUCGGUGAAAUCAUAGUACCUGUGAAGAUGCAGGUUACCCGCGACAGGACGGAAAGACCCCGUGGAGCUUUACUGUAGCCUGAUAUUGAAAUUCGGCACAGCUUGUACAGGAUAGGUAGGAGCCUUUGAAACGUGAGCGCUAGCUUACGUGGAGGCGCUGGUGGGAUACUACCCUAGCUGUGUUGGCUUUCUAACCCGCACCACUUAUCGUGGUGGGAGACAGUGUCAGGCGGGCAGUUUGACUGGGGCGGUCGCCUCCUAAAAGGUAACGGAGGCGCUCAAAGGUUCCCUCAGAAUGGUUGGAAAUCAUUCAUAGAGUGUAAAGGCAUAAGGGAGCUUGACUGCGAGACCUACAAGUCGAGCAGGGUCGAAAGACGGACUUAGUGAUCCGGUGGUUCCGCAUGGAAGGGCCAUCGCUCAACGGAUAAAAGCUACCCCGGGGAUAACAGGCUUAUCUCCCCCAAGAGUUCACAUCGACGGGGAGGUUUGGCACCUCGAUGUCGGCUCAUCGCAUCCUGGGGCUGUAGUCGGUCCCAAGGGUUGGGCUGUUCGCCCAUUAAAGCGGUACGCGAGCUGGGUUCAGAACGUCGUGAGACAGUUCGGUCCCUAUCCGUCGUGGGCGUAGGAAAUUUGAGAGGAGCUGUCCUUAGUACGAGAGGACCGGGAUGGACAUACCUCUGGUGUACCAGUUGUCGUGCCAACGGCAUAGCUGGGUAGCUAUGUGUGGACGGGAUAAGUGCUGAAAGCAUCUAAGCAUGAAGCCCCCCUCAAGAUGAGAUUUCCCAACUUCGGUUAUAAGAUCCCUCAAAGAUGAUGAGGUUAAUAGGUUCGAGGUGGAAGCAUGGUGACAUGUGGAGCUGACGAAUACUAA